AUGUGCGGACGGGAUAAGUGCUGAAAGCAUCUAAGCAUGAAGCCCCCCUCAAGAUGAGAUUUCCCAUAGCGUCAAGCUAGUAAGAUCCCUGAGAGAUGAUCAGGUUGAUAGGUCAGAGGUGGAAGCGCGGUGACGUGUGGAGCUGACUGAUACUAAUCGAUCGAGGACUUAACCUAAUU
rnacentral:rRNA from 1 species